GAUGAACGCUGGCGGCGUGCUUAACACAUGCAAGUCGAACGGGAAUUCUUUUAUUGACACUUCGGUCGAUUUAAUUUAAUUCUAGUGGCGGACGGGUGAGUAACGCGUGGGUAACCUGCCUUAUACAGGGGGAUAACAGUCAGAAAUGGCUGCUAAUACCGCAUAAGCGCACAGAGCUGCAUGGCUCAGUGUGAAAAACUCCGGUGGUAUAAGAUGGACCCGCGUUGGAUUAGCUGGUUGGUGGGGUAACGGCCCACCAAGGCGACGAUCCAUAGCCGGCCUGAGAAGGUGAACGGCCACAUUGGGACUGAGACACGGCCCAGACUCCUACGGGAGGCAGCAGUGGGGAAUAUUGCACAAUGGGGGAAACCCUGAUGCAGCGACGCCGCGUGAAGGAAGAAGUAUCUCGGUAUGUAAACUUCUAUCAGCAGGGAAGAUAGUGACGGUACCUGACUAAGAAGCCCCGGCUAACUACGUG
rnacentral:rRNA from 1 species